ACCCACCAGCCUAAAUAUUUCAUUUCCUUAUAUUUUUGGUUUUUUUCUUUCUUGCAAAAGUCAAAAGAGGAGAAAUUAAGAUGUAUUUUGGCAGUGAAUUCCCACAUUUUCUACAGAGAAGUGCAUUACCACGUAUACCAACAGCAGCAGUAGUUGUAUAGUAGGGGUGGAGGUGGUGGCAGCUGCUUCUUAUUGCAAACAACUUAUAGGUAUUGCAAUUGGUUUGAUCGUAAACAAUGGAAGCUCCAAAAAGAUUUCAAAGAGAGACUUAAGAGUAGAAGCUUUUUGGCCAGAUAUGACAAGACCUACUACCAUAUAUAGAGAUGGAACCCAUCAACGAUUCUAAGCAGCUCGAUCAGAUUCUACUCCAGGCUCAUAACAUCUCUCAGCCCAUUCUCAUUGACUGGUAUCAACUAUGGGUUUGUGCUUCUAAUAUAUAGGAUGACAGCUAGGUGCCGGAAAUGCAUCCAUUUGAAGCCCAAGUUGGAGAAAUUAGCUGCUGAAUAUGAUACCAAGUAACCCUUCUCUCCCUCUAGCUCUCCUGUGUGCUUAAUGCAAAUUGGUGGGUUAACAAUAGAUUUCAUAUAAAAAUUUUACAUAUAUGAAUACAUAGGAUCAAGUUUUACUCUGUGGAUGUCAACAAGGUACCUUAAUCUCUAGUCAAGAGAGGAAACAUAUCUGUAUGUUUGAUAAUUCUCACCUCUCUAUUAAUUAAUUAUUUCCUUCUAAUUAUGAUCAUUAAAUAAGUUUUCUUCUUCUAAUGAUCUUUGUUUUCUUUCUUCUCUCUGCCAGAAGAUGCCUACAAUUCAGCUAUGGACGGAUGGAGAGAUGAAAGCAUAAGUAAUUGGAGGAGCUUGUGAUUGAACAAGUGAGAGAAAUUAUCCAAAAAUUCAUAUGAUACAUGUAAUGUAUGGUUUCCUGAUUUAAGCUUGUAAUCAUGAUUAUGUGCAUUAGUCUCAAUUCCAUUCCAUCUUCUUUACAAGGG